GGAAUAUAAGAACCCGUCUCUUAACUUUUAACUAAAAAAGUUAAGAACCGGCUCUUAAAACUCUUAUUUAAGAGCCGGUUCUUAGUUUUUUUAGUUAAAAGUUAAGAGACGGGUUCUUAUAUUCC
rnacentral:pre_miRNA from 1 species